GUGGGGAAUAUUGGACAAUGGGCGAAAGCCUGAUCCAGCCAUGCCGCGUGUGUGAAGAAGGUCUUCGGAUUGUAAAGCACUUUAAGUUGGGAGGAAGGGCAGUAAGUUAAUACCUUGCUGUUUUGACGUUACCGACAGAAUAAGCACCGGCUAACUUCGUGCCAGCAGCCGCGGUAAUACGAAGGGUGCAAGCGUUAAUCGGAAUUACUGGGCGUAAAGCGCGCGUAGGUGGUUUUGUAAGUUGGAGGUGAAAUCCCCGGGCUCAACCUGGGAACUGCCUACAAAACUGCAUGACUAUAGUACGGUAGAGGGUAGUGGAAUUUCCUGUGUAGCGGUGAAAUGCGUAGAUAUAGGAAGGAACACCAGUGGCGAAGGCGACUACCUGGACUGAUACUGACACUGAGGUGCGAAAGCGUGGGGAGCAAACAGGAUUAGAUACCCGAGUAGUCC
rnacentral:rRNA from 1 species